rnacentral:sRNA from 1 species
AUUUCCGGGAAGAUGGCGGCGCACAAGUCAGGUCCGGCACAUGUUUCCGCGGAAAGGACCCCGCAAUGACGGAUGAUAUCACCUCUUCUUCUCUGUUGAGAGUCUGAGGAUAGAAACUUUUUUCUCACCAUGAAUGUCACCCCAGAGGUCAAGAGUCGUGGGAUGAAGUUUGCUGAGGAGCAGCUGCUAAAGCAUGGAUGGACUCAAGGUGGGACAUGACCCUGCCAAGGAGUUCACAAACCACUGGUGGAAUGAGCUCUUCAACAAGACUGCGGCCAACUUGGUAGUGGAAACUGGGCAGGAUGGAGUACAGAUAAGGAGCCUUUCUAAGGAGACCACCCGUUAUAAUCAUCCCAAGCCCAACCUGCUGUAUCAGAAGUUUGUGAAGAUGGCUACAUUGACUUCAGGUGGAGAGAAGCCAAACAAAGACUUGGAGAGCUGCAGUGAUGACGACAACCAGGGGCCCAAGUCCCCAAAGAUUCUGACUGAUGAGAUGCUGCUCCAAGCCUGUGAGGGGCGAACAGCACACAAG